UGAUGAUGUGCAGAAGUAACAUCUGUUACUCCAUAGAUCACACGGACUAAUGUGGCUGAUCUAGAUGGCUAUGAGCAUUGUUCCUUCCUGCCUCUCUGUUCCAUGUUUACUCUUCCUGAAGCUGCGAGCUCAGAUGAAGAGGACAACUUUCCAUAAUAGGGCAGGAUCAUUCUUGGGUCACAGAUAUGAGGAGCUGUACUUCUCUGCUAGAACCUCCAAACAAAUCUGCCAUGGUCCAUAUAAGGCUCUGUAAUUAAGUGGAAAGAUUGGGGCAAUAUCUACUUGAAGCAUUGCCUAACUAU
rnacentral:snRNA from 1 species